rnacentral:lncRNA from 1 species
CAGCCUCCCUGAGGAUUCGACUUUUACACCAAAUGAAAUGGGGAUCGUAAGAGUGACACUCUUUGUCUUAAGGACCCCUGUGCUCCUGUGCUGAGAAGAAUGUAGGGGCAGAUGUGGAGGCAGGGAGGCUGUUGCUGUCACACAGGCCCAAGGCUGUGGAGGCUCACACCAGGGUGGUAGAGGAGGAUGGGUCUCGCUCUGCUGCCCAGGCUGGAGUGCAGUGGCGCCAUCUCAGCUGCAACGUCUGCCUCCGAGUUCAAGCAGUCCUCCCGCUGGGACUACAGGUGUGCAACACCACACCCAGCUAAUUUUGUUUAUUUUUUGUAGAGAUAGGGUUUCAUCAUGUUGCCCAGGCUGGUCUCGAACUGCUGGGCUCCAACGAUCCACCCACCUCAGCCUCCCAAAGUGCUAGGAUGACAAGUGUGAGUCACUGCACCCAGCCUGAAUCAUUUUUUAAAGAGCAUGUGUCCAUUAAAAAUUAUUUUAAUGAA